UUUACAGAUUGCCUUCGCCCGGUACUACGGCUGCAAAUCCUACCCCGAUUCUGAGAUUCAAAACAUGCUUGACUGCGCUAGGAGUUUCAUUCUGUAUAGCCGAGAGCUUGAAAGUGUUUUCCCUUUCCACCGCUGACCCCUCGAGGAGAUCCGGACAGCCGACAUCCGGAGCAGGGCGCAGCGCAUCUGGAAGUUAUGGGAUGUGAACACGGAGAGGGAAACGCGGGGCAAACAAUCGGGGAUUAUAACGGCACGAAGAGUCAAUGGAAGAGAUGGUGGAGCCAUGGAACCCUCCAAAUGGAAGCAGUGGGCCCAACAAUGUGACCUGAUGUUGUGAAUUCCAACCCAGGCCAGCAGUUCCUAAGCCAUCUUGGUUUGAAAGGCCUACAGGUUCAAGCCAGUCAAACCAGGUCAUCCAGUCACAAACCUGCCGUCUUACACAAUAAACUGCUUCUUAUCUGAGAUUGUUUCGGGUUUGGCAGAUCAUGAGCAAAAAAAAACUCCUUGUGUUCAAUUGCUCUGAUUAUGACUAUGUCCAUACUAGACUGGAUAAAUCCAUAACCGAAGCUUUUCUCUUCGUUUUGACUGCGUUUUCCUCCCCUGAAAACAGAGCUUUUCUAAAACACCCUCCAGAGUGUGUGAAUUUGAAAACACCGGAUUGGGCAGAUCAGUGUGGACGGGGUAACCGGAGAAAUCUGAAAACGCGGUCAGACGGCAGCGCGCCAUUUCAUUGUUUUCCUGAAUGCAGCCUAACAAUUUCAGAACAGACAGCAACAAGAUCGAAGCCAGAAGAGUUAGAAAUGUACUCAUCAAAUACUUUGA